rnacentral:snoRNA from 1 species
GUGCAAGUGAUGAGUUUUUUCAUGUCUCUUCUCUGAGUAAAAACUGAAGAGUCUGUAAAUCUCUCUGAUCUCAGCAC